rnacentral:rRNA from 1 species
GUCCACGCCGUAAACGAUGAGUGCUAGGUGUCACGGGCUUUGACCCUCGUGGUGCCGAAGCUAACGCGUUAAGCACUCCGCCUGGGGAGUACGGCCGCAAGGCUAAAACUCAAAGGAAUUGACGGGGCCCGCACAAGCGGUGGAGCAUGUUGUUUAAUUCGACGCAACGCGAAGAACCUUACCUGGGCUAGAAAACACAGGAAGCCGGACGAAAGUUCGGGGUGCCCUUCGGGGAACCUGUGGUUAGGUGCUGCAUGGCUGUCGU